GCAAGUCGAGGGGUAACAGGGAAGCUUGCUUCCGCUGACGACCGGCGCACGGGUGCGUAACGCGUAUGAAACCUGCCUUUUACAGAGGGAUAGCCCGGAGAAAUCCGGAUUAAUACCUCAUAGUUCUACAGAUUCGCAUGUUUUUGUAGAUAAAACUUCGGUGGUAAAAGAUGGUCAUGCGUGACAUUAGAUUGUUGGUGAGGUAACGGCUCACCAAGUCGACGAUGUCUAGGGGUUCUGAGAGGAAGGUC
rnacentral:rRNA from 1 species